rnacentral:rRNA from 1 species
GAUGAACGCUAGCGGGAGGCCUAAUACAUGCAAGUCGAACGGUAAGGUCCUUGGGAUACACGAGUGGCGGACGGGUGCGUAACGCGUACGGAAUAUACCUUCAACAGGGAGAUACCUCCGGGAAACUGGAAUUAAUACCCCAUAGUAUUACUAGAUUCGCAUGAAUUUAUGAUUAAAGCUCAGGCGGUUGAAGAUUAUCGUGCGUCUGAUUAGGUAGUUGGUAGGGUAAUGGCCUACCAAGCCAACGAUCAGUAGCUGGUCUGAGAGGAUGAUCAGCCACACUGGAACUGAGACACGGUCCAGACUCCUACGGGAGGCAGCAGUAGGGAAUAUUGGGCAAUGGAGGCAACUCUGACCCAGCCAUCCCGCGUGCAGGAAUAAGGCCCUAUGGGUUGUAAACUGC